GAUUGAUCCGCUUACGGAAUGCUGGAUGGUUGAUGAUGCCUUAUUGUCAGACAGCAAUUCCGUAGUCCUAGUGGUGUAUCUGGUCCUUAGACUUGAGACACCAAGGAUGUCCUGUAUGAGUGCUCCACUCUUUGAUACCAGACUUAUAGGUUUAGCUGUCCCAGAUCUAGUACAGCUGGUCAUUGGGAGUGGUAGUCGACCUUACGAGGGCUAUUGAGUGUCGAUAAAGGAUCAUCCACUCUCGGCAUCAUGAGAGGAAUAUCUCAUGUGUUCUUGCUCAGACA
rnacentral:lncRNA from 1 species